rnacentral:rRNA from 1 species
UACAGGGGGGGCAAGCGUUGUUCGGAAUUACUGGGCGUAAAGGGCGCGUAGGCGGCCUUCUAAGUCGAACGUGAAAUCCCUGGGCUCAACCCAGGAACUGCGUCCGAUACUGGAAGGCUUGAAUCCGGGAGAGGGAUGCGGAAUUCCAGGUGUAGCGGUGAAAUGCGUAGAUAUCUGGAGGAACACCGGUGGCGAAGGCGGCAUCCUGGACCGGUAUUGACGCUGAGGCGCGAAAGCUAGGGGAGCAAACGGG